rnacentral:rRNA from 1 species
AGUGAACGCUGGCGGUAGGCCUAACACAUGCAAGUCGAACGGCAGCACAGUAAGAGCUUGCUCUUACGGGUGGCGAGUGGCGGACGGGUGAGGAAUACAUCGGAAUCUACUUUUUCGUGGGGGAUAACGUAGGGAAACUUACGCUAAUACCGCAUACGACCUACGGGUGAAAGCAGGGGAUCUUCGGACCUUGCGCGAUUGAAUGAGCCGAUGUCGGAUUAGCUAGUUGGCGGGGUAAAGGCCUACCAAGGCGACGAUCCGUAGCUGGUCUGAGAGGAUGAUCAGCCACACUGGAACUGAGACACGGUCCAGACUCCUACGGGAGGCAGCAGUGGGGAAUAUUGGACAAUGGGCGCAAGCCUGAUCCAGCCAUACCGCGUGAGUGAAGAAGGCCUUCGGGUUGUAAAGCCCUUUUGUUGGGAAAGAAAAGCAGCAGGUUAAUACCCCGCUGUUCUGACGGUACCCAAAGAAUAAGCACCGGCUAACUUCGUG